UCGUGUGGAGGCAGAGAAAGGAAGACGAGCGCGGGGAACGGUAAAUCAGAAGGCGGCCGCCGCGGCCUCGGUGGCGCUGCUUGGGUCACUGAAGAUGGGGAAGAUGGAGAGGGGAGAGAAGCGUAGCAGGGCGGUCGCGGCGGCGCUAGAAGUUUGAGUGAUUGGAGCGCCGGCGAAAGGAGGAGCGCAGCAUCGACCCAGCCUGCCUGCCGCCGACGACCAAGCCUCAGGUCAGGAUCGCUCACAGGCAAAACGAAUCGACAAUUCUGGCUUCAAGUUUCCAAAGACCUUGUACCCAGAAUCUUCUAAGAAUCAAAUCAAGGGGAGAGGGGAGAAUACGCCCCGGCAGCUCCCCGAGAACGAGCGUCCAUUUCCUACAUCUCGGGGAAGCGGAAGCGCCCUGAACCCCUCGCCGAUUCGAGCGACGACUACUCAAGAAGUUUCCUUCCCUCUCACGACAAUGACGCCAACGGCCGCCUCAGUUCAUUGAAAAUAUGAAGGGGAGCAGCGUAGUGGUUGCUGUUUUCUUUGUCGGGUGCCUAAUCAUGGUUGGACAAUGUCGCCCCGACCCCAAGAGCACCUACAAAGAUGGCCAUGACAACACGACUAUGGUGGCCUCAUCAUUAGAUGAGAGCAAACUUACCAUAAAAUGGUGUGUCGCAAGGAAUUGUAACACCAAAGGUGAACCAAAUGCCCAUCACUGCUUUUGCUGCCUCAAUGCGCGCGGGGGGGGAGGCACCUUGUUUUAGUUCCAGAGGAGAUUGCCAGGAUCACUGCCCAACUUUGCCACCCGGAAAAUAAGGAUGUUCUAGCUGAUAUGUAUUUGAUCGCAUCCCUUUUAGUUCCAUAGGAGAUUGCCAGGAUCACUGCCCAACUUUGUCACACGGAAAAUAAGGAUGUUCUAGCUGAUAUGUAUUUGAUCACAUCCCUACCUAGCUGUAGCAUCGUCGCCGAUCUAGGCAUCUGUGUAGGUCUUCGUAAAGGAUGCAACAUGUGGCUGGGAUAUUCACUAGCGGUGGGAUCUGUGUGAAUCUAUUUUCAUUCAUGUAUUUGAAGAAUUCUAGUUGAUGUAAGCUCACAAAACCUCCAAUUAGAGCAGAUGGGAUACGUUUGCAGAUCAUAAAUUCUGCACCCGAUAUCAGUGGCGAGCAUGCUAUUUUGCAUCUUAAUUUGUUGUGCUUCCAGUACGCCUUGUUUAUAUAGUGAUAGCAAUCUUUUUUGCUUCAUGCAUUCGUGCUUCCUACGUACAGCGGAAUUUCAAUCUAUUUCCAUGCUUCUAGGUAGCUUCCUAUGUACU